CACGUGAGCAACCUGCCCCUAACUCUGGGAUAACGCUUCGAAAGGGGUGCUAAUACCGGAUAUGAGCCUGGAAGACAUCUUCUGGGUUGGAAAGUUUUUCGGUUAGGGAUGGGCUCGCGGCCUAUCAGCUUGUUGGUGAGGUAAAGGCUCACCAAGGCGACGACGGGUAUCCGGCCUGAGAGGGCGACCGGACACACUGGGACUGAGACACGGCCCAGACUCCUACGGGAGGCAGCAGUGGGGAAUAUUGCGCAAUGGGCGAAAGCCUGACGCAGCGACGCCGCGUGAGGGAUGAAGGUCUUCGGAUUGUAAACCUCUUUCAGCAGGGACGAAGCGAAAGUGACGGUACCUGAAGAAGGAGCACCGGCUAACUACGUGCCAGCAGCCGCGGUAAUACGUAGGGUGCAAGCGUUGUCCGGAUUUAUUGGGCGUAAAGAGCUCGUAGGCGGUUAGACACGUCGGAUGUGAAAACUGGGGGCUCAACCCCCAGCCUGCAUUCGAUACGGUCUGACUAGAGUGUGGUAGGGGUAACUGGAAUUCCUGGUGUAGCGGUGAAAUGCGCAGAUAUCAGGAGGAACACCGAUGG
rnacentral:rRNA from 1 species